rnacentral:lncRNA from 1 species
GUUUCUUUGUGGUUUGUUGCUAGUGAGGCUCUAUCUUUUGAGAAACUAUCUAGAUGGCAGAGUCUCUGCCUGGUGGGAAAAGGUUUUCAGUGCUUGUCUAUUGAUCUCAUGGUUUUGUUGCACUGGGAGAAGGAAACAGUGUGCAUGUUUAUAUGCUUAGAAGCAAAGAGAGGUUUCCUUUUCCCUGCUUUCUUAAAGUGGAAAACAAAGGAUAAUUUUCAAGGCAGUGGAGGGAAGCUGAGACAUGCAUCUGCUGGAUGUAACACAUGGAUAUGGACACUGCUCCAUCUGGCAGUAUUGCACUCUCCUCUCCUUCUUAGAAUCCAGGAGCCCAUGCUGGUCUUCUCUGUGCAUGGUAGGACACGCUGAGAGGAGCAGUGAAGCAGAGUGCAAAUCAAGAGAAUGAAUCAGCUGUGAAUGAUUGGAGCUGUGAUCACGUGGGACUAAAGUGCCAAUUAUCUUUAUCAGCUUCCCAGUCUAUGUAUUAAAGUUAAUUUUUCAAAUUUUGAUUAGAGUUGGUUAUAACAUAAAAAGCUUUCUUUCUUCUAAACCAAACAGAAUCAACUGGUAGAUGCACUGUCCGGGGAUAGGAGCUAGUAGAAAUUCUUCAUUUUAUUUGAGACUUCGUUGCUAAAUUAUUGAAUGUAUUUAAACCAGUUUGCCUUUUCAUCCUUGGAAAUGGCAGCUUGUGGCAUUUUUUUCCUCCCUACAACAUAAAAUUAAAGUUACAGAAAAAUGAAGGAGAAGGUUUUGAUGAGGUGUAGUUGCAUGUUUUUAUUUAGACCUAAAGUUUGUCUGAGCUUAGAUACAUAUCAAGGUAUUUUUCAAUGUCAGUAGUUUUCUUUGUGAUCAGAUGAGUAAAGCUUAGCAAACUCACUCAGUGUUUGACCAAGUUAUAAAUGAAUGUUCAAGAAAAACUGGAGAGGAUUGAGCAAAAGGG